rnacentral:rRNA from 1 species
UUAGCGGCGGACGGGUGAGUAACACGUGGGCAACCUGCCCUAUAGUUUGGGAUAACUCCGGGAAACCGGGGCUAAUACCGAAUGAUACAUUUCAUCUCCUGGUGAAAUGUUGAAAGAUGGUUUUGCUAUCGCUAUAGGAUGGGCCCGCGGCGCAUUAGCUAGUAGGUGAGGUAACGGCUCACCUAGGCGACGAUGCGUAGCCGACCUGAGAGGGUGAUCGGCCACACUGGGACUGAGACACGGCCCAGACUCCUACGGGAGGCAGCAGUAGGGAAUCUUCCACAAUGGACGAAAGUCUGAUGGAGCAACGCCGCGUGAGUGAAGAAGGUUUUCGGAUCGUAAAACUCUGUUGUAAGGGAAGAACAAGUGCAGUAGUAACUGGCUGCACCUUGACGGUACCUUAUUAGAAAGCCACGGCUAACUACGU